rnacentral:sRNA from 1 species
CAUAACUGAUCCCACCAGUUGCCCUAUGCCUGGACACGGGCCCAAAGCCCUCGCGUCCGGAUCUCCCGAUGU